AGAGUUCGAUCCUGGCUCAGGAUGAACGCUGGCGGCGCGCCUAACACAUGCAAGUCGAACGAUUAAAGCACCUUCGGGUGUGUAUAAAGUGGCGAACGGCUGAGUAACACGUGGGCAACCUGCCCCUCUCAUUGGGAUAGCCACGGGAAACCGUGGAUAAUACCGAAUACUUCGAGACUUCCGCAUGGAAGACUCGAGAAAGCUCCGGCGGAGAGGGAUGGGCCCGCGGCCUGUUAGCUUGUUGGUGGGGUAACGGCCUACCAAGGCAAUGAUGGGUAGCUGGGUUGAGAGACCGACCAGCCAGAUUGGGACUGAGACACGGCCCAGACUCCUACGGGAGGCAGCAGUGGGGAAUCUUGCACAAUGGGCGAAAGCCUGAUGCAGCGACGCCGCGUGCGGGAUGAAGGCCUUCGGGUUGUAAACCGCUUUCAGCAGGGACGAGGCGAAAGUGACGGUACCUGCAGAAGAAGCCCCGGCUAACUACGUGCCAGCAGCCGCGGUAAUACGUAGGGGGCAAGCGUUAUCCGGAUUCAUUGGGCGUAAAGCGCUCGUAGGCGGUCUGUUAGGUCGGGAGUUAAAUCCGGGGGCUCAACCCCCGCUCGCUCCCGAUACCGGCAGACUUGAGUUUGGUAGGGGAAGGUGGAAUUCCUAGUGUAGCGGUGGAAUGCGCAGAUAUUAGGAAGAACACCAGUGGCGAAGGCGGCCUUCUGGGCCAUAACUGACGCUGAGGAGCGAAAGCUAGGGGAGCAAACAGGAUUAGAUACCCUGGUAGUCCUAGCCGUAAACGAUGGACACUAGGUGUGGGGGAAUAUUUCUUCCGUGCCGCAGCUAACGCAUUAAGUGUCCCGCCUGGGGAGUACGGCCGCAAGGCUAAAACUCAAAGGAAUUGACGGGGGCCC
rnacentral:rRNA from 1 species